UAAACUUUAUUCUUUAUGUUGUCACAGUAAACAUAUUGUAGUUAAUUACUUCUUCUUCUCUAGUUUUUAGAUCUAGUUUUGUCACAGUUGUCAAGCAUUUUUCUCAUCAUUAUCUAGGGUACUAUGCAGUAUUUGUUAAAGCUGUAUUACAAAAUACUAAUCUUGUGCAUGUAUGUUAGCUGCCUUAUUGUUUAAGUUUGUUGAUACAUUAC